rnacentral:rRNA from 1 species
UACGUAGGUCCCGAGCGUUAUCCGGAUUUAUUGGGUUUAAAGGGUGCGUAGGCGGAUCGUUAAGUCAGUGGUCAAAUUGAGGGGCUCAACCCCUUCCCGCCAUUGAAACUGGCGAUCUUGAGUGGAAGAGAAGUAUGCGGAAUGCGUGGUGUAGCGGUGAAAUGCAUAGAUAUCACGCAGAACUCCGAUUGCGAAGGCAGCAUACCGGCGCCCUACUGACGCUGAGGCACGAAAGCGUGGGUAUCGAACAGG